rnacentral:piRNA from 1 species
UAGGAAAUGUUCCUUUGACUCAAACUGCAC